UUGACUAUAGCCCUGUGGUGCCAGAGGCAGGCACUAAAAUGAGGUAACUACAAGCCACAGAUGCCAAAGAUGGCCAGCUACCAGCCGAAGCAGAGAGGGAUCAUACCUAGCGUCUCAGAGGGAGCACCGCCCUGUGGACACCUUGAUUUCAGACUUCCAGCCUCCAGAAUCCUGAGGUCUGCAUAGAACCAGCAACCUGAUGACCAGCCCUCUCUCCUCCUAAUUGUAGCGUUCUACCACACUGAAAGUUACAAAGUUCCAGGAUGCUAUCCAAAAGGCCAGGGGAACUCGACUGGGAGAAAAGCAGGUUAGUGGCAACCUUAAAAAGAAGAAACAGAAGGAGAAUAAGAAGUUGUCCUCGGGUGAAGUAUCAUGUGGGAGACGAUUCACCACUACAAUAAUUAUCAGCCAGGUGAUUACAUCCAUCGUGUCAGAUCGAUGUAUGAGCUAUGACGAAUACUCCAUUGGCAGAAGUUAACCCAAGGACUUGAAAAGACCACACCAUCUGGAGAAUUUCAGUAACAGCUUGUCUGCCUUUCUCAGGCCCUGACCAGAUUUAAACUAGAGGAACAUAUGGAUGCUACUCAUUAUAAAAGUUAAAAAAAAGGAUUCAGAACUGUUUGACUUAUACCAACAGAUGAUAAGGUGAGCUGAAGUUUCCCAUUUUGCUCACUCUAUAAUAAAUUACAGUCAAUGGUGUAAAGGAGAGCAUCAUUCACUUGGCCAUCUGGUUAUUGGUUAUUGAACAUCUACUGUGUGCCAAGUGCUGUGGUAUGCUUUAUAUACAGUGCUGAAAGAGACAUGGCCUCUGUUCUCAAGGGACUUACAGUAUAGGCAGGGAAGAGAGAACAGCAGGUAAUGGUUUCAAUGGGUGCUAAGUUUUUAAGAGGAAACAUUUCUGAUUAGGGUAGAAAGUCUCAUUGCCAUGAAUAAUGCUUAAUAGGAGCAAAAUUAGUUCUACUUCAAGGACUCCUGUAUAAAUUGCUGUCUUAUUUAUAUCAACUAUGGAAAGAUGCAAAUUUUGUCUUAAAGGCUUAAUUACCCUCUUCAACAGACAGUUUUAAAAUUAUGACAUUUACUUAAAGCACUAAUUAGAUGGAAGAUAUUUACAUUCAAUGUUAGGGAGUCCUCUAUACCCAUAUAACGAUCUGAAAGAGCAUCUGUGUGACAGAGCCAGCUGGAGGAAAGAAUCUUGUGAUUCACUUGG